GUGCCAGCAGCCGCGGUAAUUCCAGCUCCAAUAGCGUAUAUUAAAGUUGUUGUGGUUAAAAAGCUCGUAGUUGAACCUUGGGCCUGGCUGGCCGGUCCGCCUCACCGCGUGCACUGGUCCGGCCGGGCCUUUCCCUCUGUGGAACCCCAUACCCUUCACUGGGCGUGGCGGGGAAACAGGACAUUUACUUUGAAAAAAUUAGAGUGCUCCAGGCAGGCCUAUGCUCGAAUACAUUAGCAUGGAAUAAUAAAAUAGGACGCGCGGUUCUAUUUUGUUGGUUUAUAGGACCGCCGUAAUGAUUAAUAGGGACAGUCGGGGGCAUCAGUAUUCAACUGUCAGAGGUGAAAUUCUUGGAUCAGUUGAAGACUAACUACUGCGAAAGCAUUUGCCAAGGAUGUUUUCAUUAAUCAGGAACGAAAGUUAGGGGAUCGAAGACGAUCAGAUACCGUCGUAGUCUUAACCAUAAACUAUGCCGACUAGGGAUCGGACGGUGUUAUUCAUGACCCGUUCGGCACCUUACGAGAAAUCAAAGUGCUUGGGCUCCAGGGGGAGUAUGGUCGCAAGGCUGAAACUUAAAGAAAUUGACGGAAGGGCACCACCAGGGGUGGAGCCUGCGGCUUAAUUUGACUCAACACGGGGAAACUCACCAGGUCCAGACACAAUAAGGGAUUGACAGAUUGAGAGCUCUUUCUUGAUUUUGUGGGUGGUGGUGCAUGGGCCGUUCUUAGUUGGUGGGGUGACUUGUCUGCUUAAUUGCGAUAACGAACGAGACCUUAACCUGCUAAAUAGCCCGCAUUGCUCCGGCAGUGCGCUGGCUUUCUUAGAAGGG
rnacentral:rRNA from 1 species